CCAAGGCCAAGUUCCUCCUGUGGCUCCCCAGAGGCGGGCUCACUGGCCCUGGGUACGGCUGAGCCACGAGGCCAGGGUCAGCAGAGGCAGCUGGAGCAGGCAGGAAGAGUUGGAGUAAAGUGACUUUCAACUAGUCCCCCUCCAGCCCCAUAAAGGUGGUCUUUUAAUCCGGAUGGUUGUGGUCAAAAGCAGGAUGGAGGUUGAGUGCUGGGACCAAUGCGAGCCAGCCAAAGCAGUGAGAUAUCAUCACCGUUUCAUUAACUAGAUCUCUCUGUGUCUGAGCAGAGUGACUGUGCAGGAAGAACGCAGGUUUCCUGCAGCAGCAGGAGCUGGAGGAAUAACAGCAGUGACAAGUCAAAUAUGAGGAAGCUGGUCAGAAUGCUGGCCAAGUAAUAAUUACAUUUUGAUUAGGUAAUAAUGUUAAAUAAUAUUAUUAUGGUCUGUCCUGUAAGUAGCAUGAAUAGUUGAAGAGCAAACAAAAACAUUAAAUAACUUGAAGUUGCAUAUUGAAACUAUGAUAUUGACUUGGUGACUGACUGGCUGUUUUUUAUUUCAUGUAUUUUCAAAAGGAGUUAGUCAAAAACAAAAGUUGAUAUGUGAGCACACACACACAU